CCAUAAUUAUAAAUACUUUGAGUCAAGAGAGCUGCCGCUUUAAUUAAAAUACAAAUCAAUACACCAAUCAGCAUACAUUUAUUGACUAUUCCCUGUAGAGAAGAGGCUGUCCUGAUCGUAAAGGAGCGUGGACACAGCGUCAGGCAUGGUCUCUGGCCUCGCAGGCCU